UUGCAAGCCAACAGUGCUGGUUUAAUCAGAACAGAAAAUGAUUAAGGGGUAUUAACUGGAACAAAGGGACCAAAAUGCUCCCCUUGGAAUCCAUGCAGGUAGCAACAACACUGGUUUUGCUAUGGACUCACUCCAGAAAACAUGCUGUAGCUACUCCUGGGCGACAUGAAACCCCGUGGCUGACUCUGAUGACCAUGACAGAUGGGUCUCUUUGAACUUUGGCUGAUUUGGUUAGAAGCAUGAAUUCAUGGGGAUUAUACCACAACUCUUCCUACACAGUAAAAUAUGCCCAGGGCCCCUUGAUCUAAGCUGACCACACUACUGUGCAUCAUGAUGGUAAAUGUUGCCUGGGAACCACCAGGGUUUCUUCCUGAAGCGGAGGGAGGCUACUCAGGACAUUUGUCCACAGUGCUGCCAGUCAUCCUACCCCAUAAGGAUGAAGAACAGGAAAUACAGCGAUGGAGCCAACCACGCUCUCCAUUUCAUGUGCACUUUUAUGGCUUUGAAGAAAAACUACCCUAGAUGUUCACAAAUGUCAGGAUCAAUGUUGCUGUCCCCGUUGAUCUUAAACACACUGGGAUUGUUCACAGCACCUAUUAGAAAAAAACCUUAAAAGCUGUCCUCUAUCUUAGGGUGUAUUGUAUUCUACAUUGUAUGUUAAAGGGGCCACAGAGGAAUAGUAAAGCUGAAAUUUAGGUGAAAGAAGAGAAGAAUCCU
rnacentral:sRNA from 1 species